rnacentral:rRNA from 1 species
GUGGAUUUUUGCAUGUACCGUAUGAAUAAGGAUCGGCUAACUCCGUGCCAGCAGCCGCGGUAAUACGGAGGAUCCGAGCGUUAUCCGGAUUUAUUGGGUUUAAAGGGAGCGUAGAUGGGUUGUUAAGUCAGUUGUGAAAGUUUGCGGCUCAACCGUAAAAUUGCAAUUGAUACUGGCAGUCUUGAGUACAGUUGAGGUAGGCGGAAUUCGUGGUGUAGCGGUGAAAUGCUUAGAUAUCACGAAGAACUCCGAUUGCGAAGGCAGCUUACUAACCUGUAACUGACAUUGAUGCUCGAAAGUGUGGGU